AAUACAUUUGGAGCAAUUAGGCCAGUUAUCCCCCCUCACCAUUCAUCAUCCAAUCUGACCCCAUGUUUAGCAGCAAGGUAGUACGCAUUAACGGGUCCUCUACCCCCAGCCUCGUAGAGCUCAGGAGCUAUUCUAUUCUGAUCAAUCUCAUGGAUUAGUGGAGUUAGCACGUUCCAUGCAGCAGCUACUUCAUCACUGCGCAUGAAUAGAUGACUGUCUCCAUCAAGCACAUCAAGAAGAAGAUGCUCAUACGAAUCUGGCAUGUUCCCCAUACCUAUCCCUGUAAAGCAGGUUGAGUUCUGAAGCAUCUAACUGGAGCCCAAGUCCUGGGACCUUAUUGUUGACUUUCAAAAGGAUGGCUUCUUCAGGUUGAUCACGCAAGAUCAGCUCAUUUGUGUCAAGAUCUAUGUCAUGGCCAAAGCGUUCACGAUAGAUAUUGCCAGGAACAUGGCGAAACUGAAUACGAAUCUCAGCUCUGGAGAAAAUCCCAAUUCCUGUCUUGAUCAAAAAUGGUACUCCAUCCCAACGCGAAUUGUCAAUGUACAUGGCAGCAGCAAAAUAGGUUGGUGUCAAUGAUUUUGUAUAUCUGUCAACUUUCACAGAGGUAUCUUUCAGUUGACCAAGAACAACAUCCUCAAGGUUCACCUGUCGAAUUGAUCUGAGCACCUUCACCUACAUACAACACAAUUUAUUUUACCUUUUCAUCUCGGAUAUCCUCUCCAUCAAGGCUUACAGGUGGUUCCAUCGCAAAUAGUGCUAUUGUUUGAAGAAUGUGACUAUGCACUAUGUCACGAAUUAUGCCAUAAUUUCCAAAGUAUCUGCAAUAGAUGUGACAAUGCAAAAUUAGAGCUCUAAGAUAAUCACGAGAUGAUUGUGAAUUUCUUUGAAACAGCAAUGAGCUUGUCAUGCACAGAUUUAGUAACAACUAGGAUAAAAAUUGGUAUGUAAUCACAUCAGUUUGGAAAUCAACAACUCAUUAAGAUUUCAGUUACAUAACACCAGCAUAUCCCGGCUGUGUGCAUCACAUAUGAUGCAGAGGCUGGGAUUUUUGUUCCAUUAUCUAAAAACAUGACACCAUCAUAUCCGGAUUGUUUAAUCUGAAACAAGGUAGUGCCUAAUCAUGAAAUGGGCCAGAGCACAUUGUUUGCUACAUGAGGAUCAAAUCAAAUAUAUCAUUCAACAACAUACUCAAAAAAAUGGAUAGAGUUAAACUCACCUCCCUUGGAUUUCUGCUGCUGUUUCUUCAGAAAAUAUGACCUGUAACAGUUCGGGCAUGUUAACAAUGUACAUGCAACAAGAUAAAACGUUGUAAAUUGAGCGUGUGUAAAAUUUACCUGUACAUUGCGUAUAUAGGUGCGACUCCACAAAGGUUCAAACACCAAAUUAGAAAAUCUCAAGACGGUGAGAUUUUCAAUCAGAUCCUUCCCCAAAAGAUGAUCAAUCCUAUGGGAUAUAUAACAUUUCAUGUUUUAGUCGGAUACAUGUAGAGUUGCAAUUCAAAAACAAUUGAUGAGACAACCCAUUCAUAUAUGACAUUAGAGAUAACCUGUAAAUCUGCUCCUCCUCAAAUCUUGACAGCAGUGAUUGUGUUACCCGAUGUGAAGACAAACCAGUGAAGCCAAAUGGUUUCUCAAUUAUUAUCCUAUUCCAGCCUUGCAUAGUUUGGGCACUGUCAGCUAGUGACAGUGCAACAUCAAGAAGUGCCUCUUGGGGAACAGCAAGGUAAAAUAUCCUGUUUGCUGCACAAUUACCCUUUGAAACAAAUAGGCCUAUUAAUGAACCAUGUAAGCCCUUACAAAAUGAUUUUUUUUUCUAAAGGAAUUCUACGUUUAAGUAUAAAGCUUAAAUCUGGUCUCACAUAAAUAAAACAGUUUUUUAAUCCGAAAUUUACCUCUAUCUGUGACAUUUUGGAAUUUAGUUUCACCAUCCCAUCUUUGUUGUCAUAUCCUGCAUCUAUAUAGUAUGUCCUUUUAAGAAAUUCAUUUAACUUUUCAUCACAAUUACAACUGGGUGCUACCAAAGAGACAUACUGGUGGUCAACCCGGCAGGUCAAAUUGGCUUCAAUCAUGGAUCUUAAAUCUUCAUCCGUUAGUGUCUUCCUAGAAUACCCAAAUAUACCGACAUUCUGAGGAAGAAAACCACUGUAAUACAGAGCAAAUAGUGCAGGGAACACUUUAUUUUUUGCCAGUUCACCAGUUGCUCCAAUUACAGCAAUGCAAAGAGGCGCUGCGCUUUCAGGUGGGUCGUCGAAUAGAACAGGGUCUUCCUUCAGCACAGGAGGAUGGGUUUCAGAGGGGUUAAGUUUGUGAUGCAUUGAACUUUGCUCAAUGACUGAACUAAUUGGUUUUCCCAAUACCAACCAUACGCGAGUUGUACGUCCCGAGACAUUAUAUUCUCAGUCAGUGGUGUAGCCUCCAACCAAUCAGGCACUUUAUCAUUGGCUCGGACUUCUAGAUUCCUUCGAAGCUGCCAUCCAUGCCUCUUCAAGGCCUUCCGGAACUUCAGCUUUGCAGCGAUCAAACAUCUCAGUCCACAAACUCGUGUUCUAAAAUUGGCAGCAGGUCCUGCAACCUGCCGCCGCCGCCGGCCGGAAGGACGCCGGCGCCGGAGCUGGGGAAGCCGACACCGCGAGCCCCGCCAUUCCUGCCUGUGCUGCUGCCGCU
rnacentral:sRNA from 1 species